rnacentral:rRNA from 1 species
UACGUAGGGUGCGAGCGUUAAUCGGAAUUACUGGGCGUAAAGCGUGCGCAGGCGGUUUUGUAAGCCAGAUGUGAAAGCCCCGAGCUUAACUUGGGAAUUGCGCUUGUGACUGGCGUGCUGGAGUGUGGCAGAGGGAGGUGGAAUUCCACGUGUAGCAGUGAAAUGCGUAGAGAUGUGGAGGAACACCGAUGGCGAAGGCAGCCUCCUGGGCCAGCACUGACGCUCAUGCACGAAAGCGUGGGGAGCAA